GCCGGAUUUCGUUGAAAAUGGGCGGAGAAUAGGGAAUCCGGUGGGAAUCCGGAACGGUGCCGCCACUGUAUGCGCGGAGGCCCUGCAUAGGACGAAAGUCGGCCAUUGGGAGCUUUCCCGAGAAGGCUGUGCCGGGCUGGGGAUGCGUAAGUCAGGAGACCUGCUUGAAUG
rnacentral:ncRNA from 1 species